rnacentral:rRNA from 1 species
GAUGAACGCUGGCGGCGUGCUUAACACAUGCAAGUCGAACGAUGAAGCCCAGCUUGCUGGGUGGAUUAGUGGCGAACGGGUGAGUAACACGUGAGUAACCUGCCCUUAACUCUGGGAUAAGCCUGGGAAACUGGGUCUAAUACCGGAUAGGAGCGCCUACCGCAUGGUGGGUGUUGGAAAGAUUUAUCGGUUUUGGAUGGACUCGCGGCCUAUCAGCUUGUUGGUGAGGUAAUGGCUCACCAAGGCGACGCCGGGUAGCCGGCCUGAGAGGGUGACCGGCCACACUGGGACUGAGAAACGGCCCAGACUCCUACGGGAGGCAGCAGUGGGGAAUAUUGCACAAUGGGCGAAAGCCUGAUGCAGCGACGCCGCGUGAGGGAUGACGGCCUUCGGGUUGUAAACCUCUUUCAGUAGGGAAGAAGCGAAAGUGACGGUACCUGCAGAAGAAGCACCGGCUAACUACGUG